rnacentral:rRNA from 1 species
GACAGAGGGUGCAAACGUUGCUCGGAAUCACUGGGCGUAAAGGGCGUGUAGGCGGGAAGGAUAGUCAGAUGUGAAAUCCCCAGGCUCAACCUGGGAACUGCAUUUGAAACUCCCUUUCUUGAGUAUCGGAGAGGAAAGCGGAAUUCCUGGUGUAGAGGUGAAAUUCGUAGAUAUCAGGAGGAACACCAGUGGCGAAGGCGGCUUCUGGACGGUUACUGACGCUGAGACGGCGAAAGCGUGGGGAGCAAACAGG